ensembl:snRNA U6 U6 spliceosomal RNA
GUGCUCACUUCGGCAGCACAUAUCUUAAAAUUGGAAUGAUACAGAGAAGAUUAGCAUGGCCUCCGCGCAAGGAUGACAUGCAAAUUCGUGAAGCAUUCCAUAUUUUU